CGUCGGCGAGGCGAGGCGAGAUGAAGUGGACGUGCGCGUCGACGCCGCCCGCGGUCAGAAUCCGGCCGUUCCCCGCGAUGAUCUCCGUUUCCGGGCCGAUCACCAGGCCCGGGUGGACCCCGUCCAUCGUGUCCGGAUUCCCGGCCUUGCCGAGCGCAACGAUCCGGCCAUCCCUGAUACCGAGAUCGGCCUUGACGAUGCCGGUGUGAUCCAGUACGACGGCGCCCGUGAUCACGGUGUCCGGGGUGCCCUCGGCACGGGUGGCGCGGGACUGGCCCAUCGAUUCGCGGAUG
rnacentral:sRNA from 1 species